UACACUCCUACGGGAGGCAGCAGUGGGGAAUUUUGGACAAUGGGCGAAAGCCUGAUCCAGCAAUGCCGCGUGAGUGAAGAAGGCCUUCGGGUUGUAAAGCUCUUUUGUCAGGGAAGAAACGGUGAAAGCUAAUAUCUUUUGCUAAUGACGGUACCUGAAGAAUAAGCACCGGCUAACUACGUGCCAGCAGCCGCGGUAAUACGUAGGGUGCAAGCGUUAAUCGGAAUUACUGGGCGUAAAGCGUGCGCAGGCGGUUUUGUAAGUCUGAUGUGAAAUCCCCGGGCUCAACCUGGGAAUUGCAUUGGAGACUGCAAGGCUAGAAUCUGGCAGAGGGUGGUAGAAUUCCACGUGUAGCAGUGAAAUGCGUAGAUAUGUGGAGGAACACCGAUGGCGAAGGCAGCCCCCUGGGUCAAGAUUGACGCUCAUGCACGAAAGCGUGGGGAGCAAACAGGAUUAGAAACCCGAGUAGUCCCAUGAU
rnacentral:rRNA from 1 species